ACUCCUACGGGAGGCAGCAGUGGGAAUAUUGGACAAUGGGGGCACCCUGAUCCAGCCAUGCCGCGUGAGUGAAGAAGGCCCUAGGGUCGUAAAGCUCUUUCAACUGUGAAGAUAAUGACGGUAGCAGUAGAAGAAACCCGCAGCUACCCGUGCCAGCAGCCGCGGUAAUACGGAGGGGGUUAGCGUUGUUCGGAAUUACUGGGCGUAAAGCGCACGUAGGCGGACUAUUAAGUUAGAGGUGAAAUCCCAGGGCUCAACCCUGAACUGCCUUUAAUACUGGUAGUCUUGAGUUCGAGAGAGGUGAGUGGAAUUCCGAGUGUAGAGGUGAAAUUCGUAGAUAUUCGGAGGAACACCAGUGGCAAGGCGGCUCACUGGCUCGAUACUGACGCUGAGGUGCGAAAGUGUGGGGAGCAAACAGGAUUAGAUACCCUGGUAGGCUCUGC
rnacentral:rRNA from 1 species